rnacentral:pre_miRNA from 1 species
AAAAAAGUUUGUUUGGGUUUUUCUGUAAUAUCUUAAAAACCCAGAUGAACUUUUUGGC